GAUGAACGCUGGCGGCGUGCCUAAUACAUGCAAGUCGAGCGAACAGACGAGGAGCUUGCUCCUCUGACGUUAGCGGCUGACGUGUGAGUAACACGUGUAUAACCUACCUAUUAUACUUGGAUAACUUCGGGAAACCGGAUCUAAUACCGGAUAAUAUAUUGAACCGCAUUGUUCAUUAGUUAAAUACUGUUUUUCUUUCUCUUAUAGAUUGAUCCGCGCCGCCUUAUCUAGUUGGUAAGGUAACGGCUUACCAAGGCAACGAUGCGUAUCCGACAUGAGAGGGGGAUCGGCAAAACUGGAACUGAGACACGGUCAAGACAACGAAGGGAGGCAGAAGUAGGGAAUCUUACGCAAUGGGCGAAAGCCUGACGGAGCAACGCCGCGUGAGUGAUGAAGGUCUUCGGAUCGUAAAACUCUGUUAUGAGGGAAGAAAAAAUGUGUAAGUAACUAUGCACGUCUUGACGGUACCUAAUCAGAAAGCCACGGCUAACUACGUG
rnacentral:rRNA from 1 species